GACGAACGCUGGCGGCGUGCUUAACACAUGCAAGUCGAACGGAAAGGCCCUGCUUUUGUGGGGUGCUCGAGUGGCGAACGGGUGAGUAACACGUGAGUAACCUGCCCUGGACUUUGGGAUAACUUCAGGAAACUGGGGCUAAUACCGGAUAGGAGCUCCUGCUGCAUGGUGGGGGUUGGAAAGUUUCGGCGGUUGGGGAUGGACUCGCGGCUUAUCAGCUUGUUGGUGGGGUAGUGGCUUACCAAGGCUUUGACGGGUAGCCGGCCUGAGAGGGUGACCGGCACCGUGGGAAUGGGGAUACGACACAGCCCAUUACGGGAGGCGGAGUGGGGGAUUAUAGCACAUGGGCGGAAGCCUGAUGCAGCAACGCCGCGUGCGGGAUGACGGCCUUCGGGUUGUAAACCGCUUUCGCCUGUGACGAAGCGUGAGUGACGGUAAUGGGUAAAGAAGCACCGGCUAACUACGUG
rnacentral:rRNA from 1 species